UGCCCUUCUUCUGCUUCUCCAGGAAGUUGUACCCGUCAGCACCUGCUGAGGGCUUUGUUGAUCAAACCGGCAGGUAAAAAAAUUCCUGUAGAAUAAAGCCAGACCAGCUGGCUUUGAAGAGAAACCCCCCAGUUUGGGUUGUGUUUGCCUCACUCACCCUCUCCUCAGCAGCCCUGGGCUUUUUCUCCUUUGGUUGUUGACCUGUAGGCUGCGUGAUGCGGGCGCACAAGUGUCUGGCAGGCCAAGGUGCACCUGCUUCUGUCACUCGCAAGUAAAUUUAGCUGUAAAAGGUAUCACUGACAAGCAGACCUUUGUCAGUGCUGGCAAAUGAACACAGCAUUGCUGUCCCCCUUCAAAGUACGCUACAAGUUCAAAUGGAAAAUAUCAAAUCAGUCAUCUUAUCCAGGAAUUGGUUCUUUGAGAAGAAAAAAGGCCAGAUUGCUUUCACAUGGCACAAAACUUUCCUCCUUUACAUAGAUGUUAAAAUUACAUUCCAAGAAUAAUCUCUGAACAAGACGGGGUUUUGUUCUUUUAAUUGUGGCUGGAAGGAAACUUUUUUUAAUGGAAAUGCAGCAUACACAUAUUUCAAUUCAGGUUAUUAAACUGUGUUAAGUAUUAAAGUUGAUUGCCUUUCUUUUCACUAACUCAUUGUGCUUUUUUAUCCAAAGAAAUAUUAGAAGACUAAAACCUCUGAAAUAGGAGGUAUUAAUCUCAGUCCCAAAAUUAGAAAGCAUGCAGUGUUGAGAGACUGGAUGUCAAAAUUACAUGUUCAUAGUACUUAUGCAAUGGGAAUCUAGGAAACAACCGCUUUUCAAAAUGGGAGCUAAAGUAGAUGGAGAGUCUUCCGAGAGUAAAGCCAUCUAAACUUGGUCUUCUUGUCCUUAUUGGAUUAAGGUCUACCUUUCGUGAAAGAACACGGAAGAGGAAAGAAAUGACAGUAAGACUGAAUUAUGAACUCUUAGAAGUUGAGAACAAGAACUGAUUGUAUUGUGAAAGCUGAAUUCACUACUUGCGAUUAACGCCGGCAAUAGCAGUUGGCGGUGAUCGCAUGCAUGAGAUUGCUGAAGCAGAUGGAGCACAUGUAUUACUCACACAGGUUAGGAAAGACAAAAAGAAAACAUUUAUUCCAGUUUUCACUGCAAUGUUUAAAGAGCACCACAAACACAACUUUAAAAGCCUGAAUUGCUUGGAAAAUGACACCAGGGGUUCACUGCCUUCUCUGCAGCUCCCCUCAAACUCGAGACAGAGACUGUCCUAUUGUAGAAGUAGGUUUUCUUCUCCUCAAAUCUGGGCACUUCUGGUCCUGAGAUGAGUUGUGUCCCUGUCAUUGCCAUCCUACUUUGGUGAUGACUAAAAUGAAGACACCUCAGUUACUUCUUGGGCAUCUACUUGAGUCAACUAUCACCUCUCCCAGGGUCAUCCUGCUGCAAUAAAGUCUCCCAGAGGUGUUACAGCUCUUAAUUACAUUGUCUUCAGAGUGCUCAGAGGUUCACUGACAGAAGUGAUUUCAGCAUGCAAAGCACUGCAGCAACAUAAACUAAUCUAGAUAGUAGAGGUCAGUCCUGUCUGUCUACGUUAACCUAACAGCCUGUGCUUUUCCUUCUUCCUUCACCAUUUGCCAAAACAGAUACGAUUUGUUUUUCUUUGAUCCCAUGAAGUUGACAGUGACAGAUUACUUUCAGUUUCUCAUCCUGAGCCUUCCCACUUUCCUGGUGAUUUGACCCGUGACAUUAGGAAGAUCUGUAAUCACAGGCAGCUGCCUCUCUGAGUAAUGUGUAGAUACUGCGGGAUUGGUGGUAUAGGACCACACAAGUCACUGUCUUCCCAGCAGAGCAGCUGGGUCCUGCAGAUCAGAGGUGGAAAAUAUCCUUGUGAAGCUCAAGGGUUUUACAAAGGUUAAAUUGUUCACAAGGCAUCUCACUUCUCUAAAAUGUCUUUAAAAAAAAAAAAAAAGUCAAGAUUUCAGAGUAUUUUGAAUGUACAUAUUGGAGACUCUGAUAACGGGGAUCCUAUUUAACAUGAACACUAGUUUUGCAAUAUUUUAAUAUCCAACUGUGCUACCAGGAAUAGAUUUUUUUUUUUUUAAUUCAGUCUUCAAAAAAUGGAAAACCUGUUGAGAGUUGGUUUUGAUUUGUGGAGGGUAUGACUCCACUCUUCUGGGAUCCAGCAGUUUGGUACCAAACAGAUAACCAAGUCCAAAGGCAAUAAUAGGCCCAACAAUACUCCAAAAGCAGUACUCAAUAGUACAAAACCAGAUGAUAACUCAUAAAGUCAUUAUGAAUACAGAGCAAUUCAUGCUGGAGAGGACCUCAGGAGGUCUCUUCUCUGACCUCCACAAAGGAGUGCAAGCUUGGAGAGAAGACAGGGAAGAUCAGGGAUUUUCCAGACCCAUCUCAAAAAACAUCUCAUCCUGGAGACUGCACAGCCUCCUUGGACUGCUUUCCCCAGCCUGGAAUCCUCAUGGGGGGAAAGAUUCUCCUUGUAACUUCAGCAAGCAUAUCUUGUCCUCACACCAUGUCCCAUUGCAAAGGGCAUGUCUCCAUUUCCCUUGUUAGUUACCUGAAUGGUCAGCUCUAUUCAGUCUUACCUGUAAGUUGAUGGGAGAGCGCUCCAGCAACUCUUCCGGGUCACAAAUAAAGAUGAUAAAGAGGUCGAUUCUCACAAACAAUUGGGCAAACAGUCACCACUGAUACCAGUCUGAUAUGUCAGUACCGUUUGUUUGGAGAGUAAAAGCAAACUCUAAGAGAAACAAGAGUCUGGCAGAUGAGAGAGCUCAUGGACAAAAUCUUGUUGUUAUGUAUGAGGCAUGAUGCUAUUCUGUACUGCAUUAGACAAAGCUUGUCCACUGAGAUUCACUGAUCUAAAUCUGUGAAUCUCUAACCUUUACAGCUGUCAAAACCUGUUCAUUUCUAUAACACCCUGCUCAGAGUCUAACUAGUCUGAUUAAAAGCAAAGUGAUUGGAUUAUAUAGUUAUAAGCCGUUUCAUGUAAGAAAUAAUAAAUCAUUAAUGGCAUCAUA